GCCCUCGUAGCUCAGUGGAUAGAGCACGGCUCUCCUAAAGCCGGUGUCGUAGGUUCAAUUCCUAUCGGGGGCA
rnacentral:tRNA from 1 species